rnacentral:lncRNA from 1 species
GGCUUCUUGAUCCUAUGUGUUGUAUUGAGUGUUGGUCACUGGUCUUUGGGAAGCUUGGACAGAAGUGGGGCAGCCAUGGAGCUGCUGACUGGGACUGGCCUGUGGCCCGUGGUCAUAGUCACAGUCAUCUUCAUAUUACUGGUGGACAUGUUGCACCGGUGCCAGCGCUGGACUUCUUGCUGCCCACCAGACCCUGUGCCAUGGCCUGUGCUGGGUAACCUGCUGCAGGUGGACCUGGAUAACAUGCCAUAUAACUUGUACAAGCUUCACAACCGCUAUGGUGACGUGUUCAGCCUGCAGAUGGGCUGGAACCACAUGGCCGUGAUCAACGGACUGAAGGUGUGGUCCUUGCUCCUUAUGGGCCUGAGUGGAAAGAGCAGAGGUGAUUCUCUGCGUCGACCCUGUGCAACUUCAGCCUGGGCAAGAAAUCACUGGAGCAGUGGGUGAUGGAAGAGGUUGGACACCUCUUUGAUGUCUUCACUGCCCAUGCUGAGGAGGCUGUAGACAAGAGAUUUGGAAAGAACACAUCUAGAAGUGUCCACCACAGUAAUAGGAGCCUGGAGAUUGACAUACAGCAAAAGGAAGUGAGAAGCUGACCAAGGUCAGGGCUUCUAGAAGCUGAGACCCUGGCCCUCUGCCCACAUGGAACAUCUGUGAGAUUUUCCAGGUUCUGAACACAUUCCCAAUUCUCCUACGCAUCCCAGGGUUGGCUGACAAAGUCUUCCCUGGGCAAAAGACAUUUCUCAUAAUGGUGGAUAAGCUGGUGACUGAGCACAAGAGGACCUGGAACUCGGACCAGCCGCCUCGAGACCUGACUGAUGCCUUUAUGGCUGAGAUGGAGAAGGCAAAGGGAAACCCUGAGAGUAGCUUCAAUGAUGCAAAUCUAUGUCUGGUUGUCCUUGACCUGCUGGGUGCUGCAACUGUGACCACCUCAACCACACUGUCCUGGGCCCUGCUGCUUAUGAUCCUGCAUCCGGAUGUGCAGUGCCAAGUACAACAGGAAAUCGAUGAGGUCAUUUGGUAUGUGUGGCUUCCAGAGAUGGCAGACCAGGUCUGCAUGCCCUUCACCAAUGCUGUCAUUCAUGAGGGCAUGACUCUCAUCUCCAACCUGUUCCGUGCUGAAGGAUGAGACUGUCUGGGAGAAGCCCCUUCGCUUCCAUCCUGAACACUUCCUGGAUGCCCAGGGCCACUUUGUGAAGCCUGAGGCCUUCAUGCCAUUCUCAGCAGGCCACAGAUCAUGCCUGGGGGAGCCCCUGGCCCUCAUGGAGCUCUUCCUCUUCUUCACCUGCCUCCUGCAGCGCUUUAGCUUCUCAAUGCCAGCUGGACAAUCCCUUCCCAGUGAUUAUGGCAUCUAUACAAUGCCAGUUACUCCAGCACCUACCAGCUCUGUGCAGUGGUUUGCUAGCAGGGGCAGUGGCUCCAGCCAUCAUCACAGAUUGUUCUGACUGAUGUCCAAUAAACAAGUUUUGUGUCUGAAUCUCAGA